rnacentral:tRNA from 1 species
ACACGCCUAGACAAUUCUCUCCGCCCUCCGAAGGCGGGGGUCACAGGUUCGAAUCCUGUCGGGUGCGCCA